CUGUACAGUUCAGAGUUUGAUCCUGGCUCAGAGUGAACGCUGGCGGCAGGCCUAACACAUGCAAGUCGAACGGCAGCGCGGGGAGCUUGCUCCCUGGCGGCGAGUGGCGGACGGGUGAGGAAUGCAUCGGAAUCUGCCCAUUUGUGGGGGAUAACCUCGGGAAACCGGGACUAAUACCGCAUACGACCUUCGGGUGAAAGCAGGGGACCUUCGGGCCUUGCGCAGAUGGAUGAGCCGAUGCCGGAUUAGCUAGUUGGUGGGGUAAAGGCCUACCAAGGCGACGAUCCGUAGCUGGUCUGAGAGGAUGAUCAGCCACACCGGGACUGAGACACGGCCCGG
rnacentral:rRNA from 1 species